UACGUAGGGGGCAAGCGUUGUCCGGAUUUAUUGGGCGUAAAGAGCGUGUAGGCGGUUUGGUAGGUCCGCUGGGAAAACUCGAGGCUCAACCUCGAGACGCCGGUGGAAACCAUCAGACUAGAGUCCGGAAGAGGAGAGUGGAAUUCCUGGUGUAGCGGUGAAAUGCGCAGAUAUCAGGAAGAACACCCGUGGCUAAGGCGGCUCUCUAGUACGGUACUGACGCUGAGACGCGAAAGCGUGGGGAGCGAACAGG
rnacentral:rRNA from 1 species